GAUUCUGCGGAGGGAGGGACAGCGGAGUGGGGACGGAGGAAGAAAAGAAGGGUAUUUGGAACAAACACUGCUGACCGCUGCCUGGAGCCGAUGUCAGAGGGGGUCUGCUCAGAAUACGUCCUGCUCUGGUACUUCCACCCUCGCUCUGGGGAGUGCAGGCCGUUUGUGUACAGCGGCUGUGGUGGCAACAGAAACCGGUUCUCCUCGAGACAGGAGUGCCAGAGCUGGUGUGGGAUGGAGAGGAGUGGUAGGGGGAGGCACCUAGAUCAUAGAUGAAACUGUAACAGCAAAUCAGAUAAGUGCCUCAUCCUGGAGAGAAACUAGCAACCACAAACGAGAAAAUAAUUUCUGUACAUAACUUUGUAAAAUGGAUUUAUUUAUAUAUUUUAGCAGCUGUUUCUUAAUUUGUUUUAUGGACAAAAUGUUGAAAAUCAGAAUGUGAAUGUUAAAAAUGUUUUGUAAUUUUUAUAGAGAUGUUUUUAGAGAUUUUAAAUGUCAAAGAGAUUUUAAAUGUCAAAAGUGAUCAGUAUUCACACUACUGAAAAUUAAAUCUGUCUUUUCUGUUA